CUGCCCUUCACUCUGGGACAAGCCCUGGAAACGGGGUCUAAUACCGGAUACCACUCCUGCCUGCAUGGGCGGGGGUUGAAAGCUCCGGCGGUGAAGGAUGAGCCCGCGGCCUAUCAGCUUGUUGGUGGGGUAAUGGCCCACCAAGGCGACGACGGGUAGCCGGCCUGAGAGGGCGACCGGCCACACUGGGACUGAGACACGGCCCAGACUCCUACGGGAGGCAGCAGUGGGGAAUAUUGCACAAUGGGCGAAAGCCUGAUGCAGCGACGCCGCGUGAGGGAUGACGGCCUUCGGGUUGUAAACCUCUUUCAGCAGGGAAGAAGCGAAAGUGACGGUACCUGCAGAAGAAGCGCCGGCUAACUACGUGCCAGCAGCCGCGGUAAUACGUAGGGCGCAAGCGUUGUCCGGAAUUAUUGGGCGUAAAGAGCUCGUAGGCGGCUUGUCACGUCGGAUGUGAAAGCCCGAGGCUUAACCUCGGGUCUGCAUUUGAUACGGGCUAGCUAGAGUGUGGUAGGGGAGAUCGGAAUUCCUGGUGUAGCGGUGAAAUGCGCAGAUAUCAGGAGGAACACCGGUGGCGAAGGCGGAUCUCUGGGCCAUUACUGACGCUGAGGAGCGAAAGCGUGGGGAGCGA
rnacentral:rRNA from 1 species